AUGAACGCUGGCGGCGUGCCUAAUACAUGCAAGUCGAGCGAACAGAUAAGGAGCUUGCUCCUUUGACGUUAGCGGCGGACGGGUGAGUAACACGUGGGUAACCUACCUAUAAGACUGGGAUAACUUCGGGAAACCGGAGCUAAUACCGGAUAACAUUUGGAACCGCAUGGUUCUAAAGUGAAAGAUGGUUUUGCCAUCACUUAUAGAUGGACCCGCGCCGUAUUAGCUAGUUGGUAAGGUAACGGCUUACCAAGGCGACGAUACGUAGCCGACCUGAGAGGGUGAUCGGCCACACUGGAACUGAGACACGGUCCAGACUCCUACGGGAGGCAGCAGUAGGGAAUCUUCCGCAAUGGGCGAAAGCCUGACGGAGCAACGCCGCGUGAGUGAUGAAGGGUUUCGGCUCGUAAAACUCUGUUAUUAGGGAAGAACAAACGUGUAAGUAACUGUGCACGUCUUGACGGUACCUAAUCAGAAAGCCACGGCUAACUACGUG
rnacentral:rRNA from 1 species